GAUCGCACCGGUGGCCUAGCGGUUAGUGCAUCCGCCUAUGAUGCGAGAGGUCGUGGGUUCGAACCCCGGCCGAAUCA